rnacentral:rRNA from 1 species
UACGUAGGUGGCAAGCGUUGUCCGGAUUUACUGGGCGUAAAGGGCGUGCAGGCGGUCUGUUAAGUGCAGGGUGAAAGCUCCCGGCUCAACUGGGAGAGGUCCUUGCAUACUGGCGGACUUGAGGGGGGUAGAGGAAAGUGGAAUUCCCGGUGUAGCGGUGAAAUGCGCAGAUAUCAGGAGGAACACCGGUGGCGAAGGCGGGUCUCUGGGCCGAUACUGACGCUGAGGAGCGAAAGCGUGGGGAGCAAACAGG